AGGUCGUCCGAGUACUAUAUUAUAAGUAAUACUUUCAACAACGGUAUCUCUUGGGUCAGGCAACGAUGAAGAACGCACCCAAAUGCUAUAAGUUAUGUGAAAUGCAGAAUUCAGUGAAUCAUCGAAUCCUUGGAACGACAAUUGCGCACCAUGGUAUUCC
rnacentral:rRNA from 1 species